rnacentral:rRNA from 1 species
UACGUAGGGGGGCAAGCGUUGUCCGGAAUCAUUGGGCGUAAAGAGCGCGUAGGCGGUCCGGUAAGUCCGCUCUGAAAGUCCGGGGCUCAACCCCGGGAGGCGGGCGGAUACUGCCGGGCUAGAGUCCGGAAGAGGCGAGUGGAAUUCCUGGUGUAGCGGUGAAAUGCGUAGAUAUCGUAAGGAAGACCAGUGGCGAAGGCGGGUCUCUGGACAGUUCCUGACGCUGAGGCACGAAGGUCAGGGGAGCAAACGGG